AUGUCAAAUACAGAUAGAUGGACAAGACUGAGAGAAGAGAGACAGAGACAGAGAAGAGAAAAAGAAAAGAAAGGGAGAGAGAUACAGAGAGAGAGAGAGAGACAUAGACAAAGAGAGAGACACAGAAAGAGAGAGAGAGAUGAGCGGGAAAGACAGACAGAGACAGAGACAGAGACAGAAGAUGAGAGAGGGAAAGACAGAGAGAGACAGAGACAGAGAAGAGAGGGAGAGGAGAGAAUGGAUCCAUAUCUUCAAAAUGAUCUAUCCUACAAUACCAAAUGUGUUACAAAGAAAGAUAGCUCUCCAUUAAAGUCAUAAAGUUUAAUUCCUUCCUGAUGAGAAUUCCAAAACAGGGCAGGGCUUUCACAUACACAUUAACCAAGGUGCUGAAAUUUAAAGGAGAAUCUAGAAUUGAGCAAAUAAGAAAUUAAGAAUGACUCAAUAAUGUUGAGUUGAUUGGUCUAUUGGAUUUUAAAGUCACACCUAGAUAAGCAUUAUAUAUUUUUUAAAAAGAAAUAUAAAGACCUAGAUUAUUUUAAAGAAUUAAAAAAAGAAUGGGUUGGGUCAACCAGGAAGAAAUGAAAUAGCAUUUCUUGAAAUCAGGUACUGCCGGGGAAGGCUAAUUGAACAAGGAGGUAGAAGAUGAGAGUGAAUAAUUCCUAAUCCACAUUUUUAUCUAGGAAAGAGUUUUAAAAAGGGGGAGGGAUUUAUCAGUAAAAGUAGAAUCUUCCAAUCUGAUUUGUGGACCAGAGGGGUGUGUGUAAUUAAGACCAGAUUUGUCAAAGGGAGAUAAGCUUUAUCUGUAUUUGUUGUUGCAGGAGUUGGUUUUGGUUGUGUGUUUAUGUUGAGAGUUUGGGGUCAAUGGAUAGAGUAAUGGACCUGGUUGGAGUCAAGAAGAUGGGAUUUCAAUCCUGCCUCAAACACCUUUAAGAUAUGUAAUGUUGGGGAAAAAAAAUCACUUAACUUCUGUAGGCUUUGUUGAAGUGAGAAGUCUCAUCUUGAUGAGUUCAAAUCUGGCUUCGCACACUUACUACCUGUGUAACCCUGUUUGCCUCAGUUUCCUUAUCUAUAAAAUGAGCAAGAGAAGAAAAUGGCAAACCACUGUAGUAUGUUUGCCAAGAAAACCCCAAAUGGGGUCACAAAGAGUAG
rnacentral:lncRNA from 1 species